CGAUAAGAUUGACAUGUGCAUGUUUCUAUCACAUGUACAUAUUCAAACAAUGGACCAUUGUCAUCAGUAGCCAGUAUCUAGGUACAUACUGACUGGAAUUCAUUUUAUCAUAUACUAAAGGUCAUAUAAGAGACUAUACAUCAGCUACUGAAUGAUGAAUACCUUCCAGUGUUUGGUCCUUGUUGCUGCUAUUGGAUUCAUCAUUACUACUACUACUACAGUGUAUGCUGGCACUGCUGCUUUGUGCUUCAGGGAUACAGGUUGCAAGAAUAAUGCAUCUAUAUCUGAGGACUGCUGUAGCCUCCCUGAUAUACAGUCUUAUGGAAUAGUUGAACCUGGCGAGGAAGGUAUGCACUGCUAUGAGUGCAAAAGUAGCUGAGAGGAAGAAGUUCUGAGAAGGAAAGAGUCUGUACUUUCAAUAAAUAAAUAAAUAAAUGUUAUUUUAUUAACAAUUAACAAUUAUUAUCUUAACUAUUCCAGAACUGAUAGUUAAUAAAGUUACAUAAAACAGUUUUUGUUAAUUUUGGA